rnacentral:rRNA from 1 species
UACGAAGGGGGCUAGCGUUGUUCGGAAUUACUGGGCGUAAAGGGCGCGUAGGCGGCCAUUCAAGUUAGGUGUGAAAGCCCUGGGCUCAACCUAGGAAUUGCACUUGAUACUGUUUGGCUUGAGUUCGGGAGAGGUGAGUGGAAUUCCCAGUGUAGAGGUGAAAUUCGUAGAUAUUCGGAAGAACACCAGUGGCGAAGGCGACUUACUGGACACAUAUUGACGCUGAGGUGCGAAAGCGUGGGGAGCAAACAGGAUUAGAAACCCUGA